CACGUAGGGUGCGAGCGUUGUCCGGAAUUAUUGGGCGUAAAGAGCUCGUAGGCGGCUCGUCGCGUCGACCGUGAAAACCCGCGGCUCAACCUCGGGUCUGCAGUGGGUACGGGCAGACUGGAGUGCGGUAGGGGAGAAUGGAAUUUCUGGUGUAGCGGUGGAAUGCGCAGAUAUCAGGAGGAACACCGAUGGCGAAGGCAGUUCUCUGGGCCGUAACUGACGCUGAGGAGCGAAAGCGUGGGGAGCGAACAGG
rnacentral:rRNA from 1 species